rnacentral:lncRNA from 1 species
AUUAAUACAAAAUUAAGGUUACAUCUUUUCAAAUGCUUCUCAAUUAAUAUAUAGGGGAUGUGCUGUUUUUCAUGUGUUUUUUUACAUACAAACAAAAGUGAUAACUGAUAACAUUUUACUUUAGUUUAUUGAAAGACUAAUGUAUGAAUACAACAUACAAGUCGAAACGUAUACUCCAAAUUUUUUAAAACAAUCUACUUAAUUGGCUUUAACAACCGUGACUGGACAUGUUGCAUUUGUCACCACAUGAUUGCUCACACUUCCCAGCAACAUCCUACAGAAAAAAAAACAUGAUAACGUACACAUUAUUCAUUAGUCAAACCCUUACUUGCUAUAGUCUAUGAUUAUGUGUGUAUACGCGUCUCUUUCGUGUAUUCAUGUAUAGAUAUAAAAAUGCUCGAUCAAUUUAGUAACGGAAGUAACUAUUUAAAUCAAAUAUAAAUCGAAUUAAUUUUACACCACAACAAAGCAGUUCAGUUCUUAAUUUAUAGGUUUCUACUUCCUCUAUAUAAUGAAAAAAUCGGAAAGCAAUUCAAA